rnacentral:rRNA from 1 species
UCCAGACUCCUACGGGAGGCAGCAGUGGGGGAUAUUGCACAAUGGGGGAAACCCUGAUGCAGCGACGCCGCGUGGGUGAAGAAGCGCCUCGGCGCGUAAAGCCCUGUCAGCAGGGAAGAACAAUGACGGUACCUGACUAAGAAGCACCGGCUAAAUACGUGCCAGCAGCCGCGGUAAUACGUAUGGUGCAAGCGUUAUCCGGAUUUACUGGGUGUAAAGGGAGCGCAGACGGCAGCGCAAGCCAGGAGUGAAAGCCCGGGGCCCAACCCCGGGACUGCUCUUGGAACUGCGCGGCUGGAGUGCAGGAGGGGCAGGCGGAAUUCCUGGUGUAGCGGUGAAAUGCGUAGAUAUCAGGAGGAACACCGGUGGCGAAGGCGGCCUGCUGGACUGCGACUGACGUUGAGGCCCGAAAGCGUGGGGAGCAAACAGGAUUAGAUACCCCUGUAAC